CCUACGGGUGGCAGCAGUGAGGAAUAUUGGUCAAUGGCCGGAAGGCUGAACCAGCCAUGCCGCGUGAAGGUCAGUGCCCUAUGGGCGUUAAACUUCUUUUGUGCGGGAGCAAUAAUGGUCACGUGUGGCCAGACGAGAGUACCGUACGAAUAAGCAUCGGCUAACUCCGUGCCAGCAGCCGCGGUAAUACGGGGGAUGCAAGCGUUAUCCGGAUUUAUUGGGUUUGAAGGGGGCGUAGGCUGUGAGGUAAGUCAGCGGUGAAAUGCCCCCGCUCAACGGGGUGAAGUGCCAUUGAUACUGCCUGGCUGGAAUGCGGAUGCGGUGGGAGGAAUGUGUGGUGUAGCGGUGAAAUGCAUAGAUAUCACACAGAACACCGAUUGCGAAGGCAUCUCACGAAUCCGCGAUUGACGCUGAUGCACGAAAGCGUGGGUAUCAAACAGGAUUAGAUACCCUUGUAGUC
rnacentral:rRNA from 1 species